rnacentral:rRNA from 1 species
GGAUGUAGAGGAAAGUGGCGGACGGGUGAGUAACGCGUGAGGAACCUGCCUUGAAGAGGGGGACAACAGUUGGAAACGACUGCUAAUACCGCAUGACGCAUAGGGGUCGCAUGAUCUUUAUGCCAAAGAUUUAUCGCUUCAAGAUGGCCUCGCGUCUGAUUAGCUGGUUGGCGGGGUAACGGCCCACCAAGGCGACGAUCAGUAGCCGGACUGAGAGGUUGAACGGCCACAUUGGGACUGAGAUACGGCCCAGACUCCUACGGGAGGCAGCAGUGGGGAAUAUUGGGCGAUGGGCGCAAGCCUGACCCAGCAACGCCGCGUGAAGGAAGAAGGCUUUCGGGUUGUAAACUUCUUUUAAGAGGGAAGAGGAGAAGACGGUACCUCUAGAAUAAGCCACGGCUAACUACGUGCCAGCAGCCGCGGUAAUACGUAGGUGGCAAGCGUUGUCCGGAUUUACUGGGUGUAAAGGGCGUGCAGCCGGGUCUGCAAGUCAGAUGUGAAAUCCAUGGGCUCAACCCAUGAACUGCAUUUGAAACUGUAGAUCUUGAGUGUCGGAGGGGCAAUCGGAAUUCCUAGUGUAGCGGUGAAAUGCGUAGAUAUUAGGAGGAACACCAGUGGCGAAGGCGGAUUGCUGGACG